GACGAACGCUGGCGGCGUGCUUAACACAUGCAAGUCGAACGGAAACGCCCUGCUUUUGUGGGGUGCUCGAGUGGCGAACGGGUGAGUAACACGUGAGUAACCUGCCCUUGACUUUGGGAUAACUUCAGGAAACUGGGGCUAAUACCGGAUAGGAGCUCCUGCUGCAUGGUGGGGGUUGGAGAGUUUCGGCGGUUGGGGAUGGACUCGCGGCUUAUCAGCUUGUUGGUGGGGUAGUGGCUUACCAAGGCUUUGACGGGUAGCCGGCUUGAGAGGGUGACCGGCCACAUUGGGACUGAGAUACGGCCCAGACGCCUACGGGAGGCAGCAGUGGGAAAUAUUGCACAGUGGGCGGAAGCGUGAUGCAGCAGCGCCGCGUGCGGGAUGACGGCCUUCGGGUUGUGAACCGCUUUAGCCUGUGACGAAGCGGGAGUGACGGUAACGGGUAAAGAAGCACCGGCUAACUACGUG
rnacentral:rRNA from 1 species